GCCGAAAUAGCUCAGUUGGGAGAGCGUUAGACUGAAGAUCUAAAGGUCCCUGGUUCAAUCCUGGUUUCGGCA